rnacentral:lncRNA from 1 species
CUUUUUGACUCGUUUUCAAAAAGAGACAAACAGGGCAUUUUUUAAAAUUAGGAAAUUUUGCCACUGAUGAGUACCUUUUUAUCUUUGAGAUCUUUCAGUCUUUCUAUUAAAAGAGAAUUUUAUAUAUAUCAGCGGGAAUUUAGGAUCGCUAGGGAGUUGCAAAAUGAAAAUAUCAAAAAAAUACUUCAAAUCUUCUACUUUAUUGAUUAUGCAUGCAGCUCGGUUGUCUCACCUUGCCUUCGGUACACCAAAGACGCUGUGGUUUCAGAGUAAAGAGUGAAACAACAGGGCUGGAAGGUUUCUCGCGAAUUGUGGUAAUAAAUGCUUCCUUCGUGGAAGAACUACGUUUAUUGCUUAAAGUUUUCCCACACUUUCCUUUAUGUCAGGUUUUGGCGUGGAAUACAAUGAAAUUACAACAACGCGGUCGUGUAGAUGAGCUGUUAUGGCGAAGACGACUCGACGAACGAAGAAGGACAGCGCCCAUUUCGCUGCAAACUUUCGAGGGUGACUAUUUUGAGAAAAACAGCUGAUUGGUGAGCGGUUUUGUGGUAAAUUUAGAGAGUGAUGUUUGGCUGCCUGCAGUUUGUGUUAAUUACAUGACAACAUGAUGAUGGUCAAGAAAAUAAAAAUGCAAGCAUUGAUAGCAUAAGCUCUAAGCUCCACCUCAGAAGGGUGAGUUACAUCAGAGGGUUUGAAUGGACAAACUGAAUAUCUUGCAAUGGUUGAAUUGGCUUGUUUAAAGAUAAAAUACUGGCAACUGUUUCAGAGCUGGAAUAUACAUUUAAUUUUCAAAUUUUUAUUAGAAAUAUGGAAAGAAUUUAUCAAAAUAAUACUGUCAUUGGGAGUUUAAUUGCAUUCAUAAGAACUGUUUUAUCAAUUUACACUUGGUCUUUUAUUUGCAGAAUGCCACUUCUCAGUUGCUGUUUAUGGUAAUCAAGUUGAGAUGUGGAAGAAGAUUGAGUACUCUCUGUGCAAUAAAAGAAUUGUUAACGUCAUGUACAGUGGGAACUUAAUUGGAAUACUGCAUUUAACACAAAACAGUUUGUUUUUGUUAAGAGGUAAGUACAAAGGGAAGUCUACAGCCUAUGCCUUUGGUAACCUCUCAGCAGGUGUACGAUACCUGCAUGUACAUGUACCUAUCAGGUAACUAUAACUCAAUUGGGUUAUACUCAGUUGUUCACUGCAAAUUGAUGGGGUUUGUAAUUAUUGAGUGCUUGGGAGGCAAGUAUGCAGCCAUGUGUAAGAACUAAUGGCAUGGAUUGGAGUAGUGUGUAAAACAAACAUUGUAGUUCAUUGUGAAAAGAGUAGAUCAACAGGUAUGCUGACCAUGGUGACAUGUUUUUAUCCAAACAGGUGAGAAGCUUGGCAUAUAUUGUGUUUCCCUCCAAGUGAAAGAAGAUUGGUUGCAAGGGAACUAUAAAACUAAACCAAGCAUCAACAGCGAUCAUCAUAAUUUCAAUUGAGAAAUUGUACGUGAUAACUGGACAAAGAAAAUUACAGAAGAUAAGCGUUUGCAAACAGUUUAGUGCUCGUGGUAUCAGUUUUAAGGAAAAGAUGUGCAACAAAAACAAGUGAAGUGAUCUUUAUGGCCUAAAAUUAGAUACGAAGAGUAAAAUAAGAAUAUUCAAUAAAUUUCUAGUUGGUUUCUCUGGAGUGUUGCAAAUUCAAAGGAAGCAUUGAAGGCAAGAAUUCAUUCUAUUGUAAGUAAAGUCGAAUUUUGUCUAAGUCCUACUGUAGUAGUGAAAGCGGAACUGUGGUAUUUUUUUUUUUUGAAAUGUAACUGUAAUAGUAGUCAGAGCAAUGUCGAAUUUUGUCUAAGUCCUACUGU